rnacentral:misc_RNA from 1 species
UUUCCGUAGGUGAACCUGCGGAAGGAUCAUUAUUGAAAUAAAAACUUGGUUGGGGGUUGCUGCUGGCUCUCAGGAGCAUGUGCACACUCGCUCCAUUUUUUAAUACCACCUGUGCACACACUGUAGGCCUGAAUGAACUUUUUCGAGGUUUAAAAACUUUGGUUUGAGAACUGCCCUUGGGCUGUUCUUGUGUUCCCAGGUCUAUGUUCUAAACAAUAUACUCCAUAACAAGUAAUAGAAUGUCAAAUUAUGGGCCUUUUGUGCCUUUAAACCUAAUACAACUUUCAACAACGGAUCUCUUGGCUCUC